rnacentral:rRNA from 1 species
ACGUGUGACCAAAUGACACUGAACGUACCAAGUCUUGUCAGAUCUCAGAAGCUAAGCGGGGGUGUAAUUGCUAAGUCAUUGGAUGAGAGGCUGCCUGGAAUAUUGGGUGUUGUAGGUU